UCACAUCCUGGGGCUGUAGUCGGUCCCAAGGGUAUGGCUGUUCGCCAUUUAAAGUGGUACGUGAGCUGGGUUUAAAACGUCGUGAGACAGUUUGGUCCCUAUCUGCAGUGGGCGUUGGAAGUUUGACGGGGGCUGCUCCUAGUACGAGAGGACCGGAGUGGACGAACCUCUGGUGUACCGGUUGUUUCGCCAGAAGCAUAGCCGGGUAGCUAAGUUCGGAAGAGAUAAGCGCUGAAAGCAUCUAAGCGCGAAACUCGCCCAAAGAUGAGACUUCCCUUGUGGUUUAACCAUACUAAAGAGUCGUUCGAGACCAGGACGUUGAUAGGUUGGGUGUGGAAGAGUGGUAACACUUGAAGCUAACCAAUACUAAUUGCUCGUGAGGCUUGACUCU
rnacentral:rRNA from 1 species